rnacentral:rRNA from 1 species
AUGCCUUUCGGAUUGUUUGUUGGCGUGAACAACCAUUUUCAGAGUGUGACCCUGGCAGGUGUGCUUGUGCGUGAUGAAACUGAAGAUAGUUUUGUAUGGGUUUUCUCAGAAUUCCUCCGAAUGAUGGGAGGUUCUCCACCUGUGACCAUACUAACAGAUCAGAACCGGGCUAUGGAGCUAGCGAUCAAGAACGUUAUGCCAAACACGACCCACCGAUGGUGCAAGUGGCAUAUCCUGAAAAAGGCAAAAGAGACACUCGGUAGUUUGUACACAAAGAAAAGUGAAUUCAGGGCUGAAUUUUAUAAGGUGAUAAAUCACAUGCUGACGGAAGAUGAGUUUGAAAAAGGUUGGGAGAUGUUGCUGGACAAGUACAAGCUGAGAUCUCAUCCGUACAUGACAAACCUGUUUGAGAUUCGUAAGAAAUGGGUGAAACCUUAA